UUCCGGUUGAUCCUGCCGGAGGCCAUUGCUAUCGGAGUCCGACUUAGCCAUGCUAGUCGUACGAGUUUGUACUCGUGGCAUAUAGCUCAGUAACACGUGGCCAAACUACCCUAUGGACAGAGAUACUCUCGGGAAACUGAGGUUAAUCUCUGAUACAGCUUCCACGCUGGAAUUGCAGGAAGCUGGAAACGCUCCGGCGCCAUAGGAUGUGGCUGCGGCCGAUUAGGUAGACGGUGGGGUAACGGCCCACCGUGCCAGUAAUCGGUACGGGUGAUGAGAGUCAGAGCCCGGAGACGGUAUCUGAGACAAGAUACCGGGCCCUACGGGGCGCAGCAGGCGCGAAACCUUUACACUGCACGACAGUGCGAUAGGGGGACUCCGAGUGCGAGGGCAUAUAGUCCUCGCUUUUCUGUACCGUAAGGUGGUACAGGAACAAGUGCUGGGCAAGACCGGUGCCAGCCGCCGCGGU
rnacentral:rRNA from 1 species